GCAUCUCUCCCGUGCUUUGCCGAUGUGGGAUUCGCCUAGGGUGUUACAUACACCCCACCAUUGGGGACUCAGCGUCCUCGCUGAGGUUUGCCCCACCAUCGCUCAAGAGGACACGCGGAGCCGCUCUGAUACCACAAUGUCAUGACCCAACCCAGACCUGGCAAGAUAUUGUCCGCUUUAGGCCUUAACAAGGCCCGCACGGAUUUGUUCUUGGGGCGCCCAUACACCCCAAAACACGUCUUGCCAAUUAAGGUGUGGAUCACCCCUUAUAAACCCAGCAUCUCUCCCGUGCUUUGCCGAUGUGGGAUUCGCCUAGGGUGUUACAUACACCCCCCCUUGAGGACUCAGCGUCCUCGCUGAGGUUUGCCCCACCAUCGCUCAAGAGGACACGCGGAGCCGCUCUGAUACCACAAUGUCAUGACCCAACCCAGACCUGGCAAGAUAUUAUCCGCUUUGGGCCUUAACAAGGCCCGCACGGAUUUGUUCUUGGGGCGCCCAUACACCCCAAAACGCGUCUUGCCAAUUAAGGUGUGGAUCACCCCUUAUAAACCCAACAUCUCUCCCGUGCUUUGCCGAUGUGGGAUUUGCCUAGGGUGUUACAUACACCCCCCCUUGGGGACUCAGCGUCCUCGCUGAGGUUUGCCCCACCAUCGCUCUAGAGGACACGCGGAGCCGCUCUGAUACCACAAUGUCAUGACCCAACCUAGACCUGGCAAGAUAUUGUCCGCUUUGGGCCUUAACAAGGCCCGCACUGAUUUGUUCUUGGGGCGCCCAUACACCCCAAAACGCGUCUUGCCAAUUAAGGUGUGGAUCACCCCUUAUAAACCCAGCAUCUCUCCCAUACUUUGCCGAUGUGGGAUUCGCCUAGGGUGUUACAUACACCCCCCAUUGGGGACUCAGCGUCCUCGCUGAGGUUUGCCCCACCAUCACUAAAGAGGACACGCGGAGCCGCUCUGAUACCACAAUGUCAUGACCCAAUCCAGACCUGGCAAGAUAUUGUCCGCUUUGGGCCUUAACAAGGUCCGCACGGAUUUGUUCUUGGGGCGCCCAUACACCCCAAAACGCGUCUUGCCAAUUAAGGUGAGGAUCACCCCUCAUAAACCCAGCAUCUCUCCCGUGCUUUGCCGAUGUGGGAUUCGCCUAGGGUGUUACAUACACCCCCCCUUGAGGACUCAGCGUCCUCGCUGAGGUUUGCCCCACCAUCGCUCAAGAGGACACGCGGAGCCGCUCUGAUACCACAAUGUCAUGACCCAACCCAGACCUGGCAAGAUAUUAUCCGCUUUGGGCCUUAACAAGGCCCGCACGGAUUUGUUCUUGGGGCGCCCAUACACCCCAAAACGCGUCUUGCCAAUUAAGGUGUGGAUCACCUCUUAUAAACCCAACAUCUCUCCCGUGCUUUGCCGAUGUGGGAUUUGCCUAGGGUGUUACAUACACCCCCCCUUGGGGACUCAGCGUCCUCGCUGAGGUUUGCCCCACCAUCGCUCUAGAGGACACGCGGAGCCGCUCUGAUACCACAAUGUCAUGACCCAACCCAGACCUGGCAAGAUAUUGUCCGCUUUGGGCCUUAACAAGGCCCGCACUGAUUUGUUCUUGGGGCGCCCAUACACCCCAAAACGCGGCUUGCCAAUUAAGGUGUGGAUCACCCCUUAUAAACCCAGCAUCUCUCCCGUGCUUUGCCGAUGUGGGAUUCGCCUAGGGUGUUACAUACACCCCCCCUUGGGGACUCCGCGUCCUCGCUGAGCUUUGCCCCACCAUCACUCAAGAGGACACGCGGAGCCGCUCUGAUACCACAAUGUCAUGACCCAAUCCAGACCUGGCAAGAUAUUGUCCGCUUUGGGCCUUAACUAGGUGCGCACGGAUUUGUUCUUGGGGCGCCCAUACACCCCAAAACGCGUCUUGCCAAUUAAGGUGAGGAUCACCCCUUAUAAACCCAGCAUCUCUCCCGUGCUUUGCCGAUGUGGGAUUCGCCUAAGGUGUUACAAUUUGCUCCUCGAUUAUCAAUUCUCGGGGCCCUCCCAGAGCGAGAUUGGUCUCUCCCCUCAUCUGUAUGCUCUCCUGGGAUCCAGACUGCAUUCCUAUGGGGAUUCACCCCAUAAGGUUGCUCCACUAACGAGGGAAUCUCAUCGGUUCUGCGUAUCCGAUGGCUAGGCUCUGCAAUGGCCUCAUAUCUCACUGCGGCGGUCUCAUGCUCCCUUCUCCGAUCAUCUCUCAGCUCAUGCAAUAUAGCUGUGAGAUUCUCCACUUGCUUCUCUAUCCGCUCCAUUCAUUCUUGCAUCAUUCUCUCUCUAGCCUCGUUUGCUAUCUCUUGGAGAGUUAUUGUCUCACCAAUUUCAUUGUCGCCCUCUAGGGUGUCCUUUCUUGUCACAUCUAUCACCAAUCGCUUGCUGCUCCUCUGAUGAUUAGUAACUUGGUGGUAGCUUUUUAUCCAGCUCCCCACAGACGGUGCCAAAAUAUUGAUGCUGAAAUAUGGUCUCCUUUUGUCCGACCAGAUUGUUCCACCAACGCUCGUGUUGACAACGGAGAAGAGGCUGCACUCUCCCUGUUCUAGUGAUUGCCUAAGCUGCCAAAUCACUCUUUCUCUUCUAUCCAAACCUGCGUUCACAGAAACAAGUCAGAGACGCCGAUGGUUUUGCCGGCAUAAACCCUCCGAUGCUCAAGUCAGUACAAGGUGUUUAUGGGAAAACAAUGUGGCUUAAGUCGAAUAAACUCACUGUAAUAUUUUCAACUCAAUGUGUAUCCAAGAUCUAUAUAGAAUAAAUUCUAGUUUCAAUUUGGCAGAGUUUUCCCUUCUCUCCUUAUUUUUUCGUCCCCUACUUCCUUGGUUUCUUGGCCUUUUAUAGGCAAUCAUUCCACGUUUUUGGUUAUUCUUCAUGCCCCCCAUUUUAGGGUGAUGACAGACCUUCACAGAUCUCCCACCAUCGAAUCGUGGGUAAACGUGGGAUAUCAUGCUCUCCCUAGCGGCUUGGGGCAUUGCGAAACUGUCGUGAGUUCGUGAGAUCAUGUCCUUUUUCUUCGGGUGAUAAAUAUCUAGUCGGUACGCACCUUUAGUCGGUACUCAUUUAUAGUUGGCAUAUACCCCAUACAAGAUGUAUUACCAGGACUCUGCUCGUGCCGUUCAGCUGAGGAGAUUCGCCCUAGGGUGAGGGUGAGGGUGAGAAGAUAGCUGAGCUGGUGCUUUUCAUUACUCAACAAUAUCAAUAAAUUUCAAAGAGAAAGUUUUACUUUGAAAUUUGCCUAAAUUUUACAUAAAGAACUCUGCCAGCAAAAAAUAAGAAAUC
rnacentral:lncRNA from 1 species